AUUGAACGCUGGCGGCAGGCCUAACGCAUGCAAGUCGAGCGGAUGACGGGAGCUUGCUCCUUGAUUCAGCGGCGGACGGGUGGGUAAUGCCUAGGAAUCUGCCUGGUAGUGGGGGACAACAUUUCGAAAGGAACGCUAAUACCGCAUACGUCCUACGGGAGAAAGCAGGGGACCUUCGGGCCUUGCGCUAUCAGAUGAGCCUAGGUCGGAUUAGCUAGUUGGUGGGGUAAUGGCUCACCAAGGCGACGAUCCGUAACUGGUCUGAGAGGAUGAUCAGUCACACUGGAACUGAGACACGGUCCAGACUCCUACGGGAGGCAGCAGUGGGGAAUAUUGGACAAUGGGCGAAAGCCUGAUCCAGCCAUGACGCGUGUGUGAAGAAGGUCUUCGGAUUGUAAAGCACUUGAAGUUGGGAGGAAGGGCAGUAAGCUAAUACCUUGCUGUUUUGACGUUACCAACAGAAUAAGCACCGGCUAACUCUGUGCCAGCCGCCGCGGUAACAC
rnacentral:rRNA from 1 species